rnacentral:antisense_RNA from 2 species
GUGGGAGGGGGCUUGCUCCCGAUAGCAGUGGAUCAGCCAGCAUCAGUGGUGGCUGGCACACCGUAAUCGGGAGCAAGCCCCCUCCCAC